UACGUAGGGCGCAAGCGUUGUCCGGAAUUAUUGGGCGUAAAGAGCUCGUAGGCGGUUUGUCGCGCCUGCUGUGAAAACCUAAGGCUCAACCUUGGGCUUGCAGUGGGUACGGGCAGACUAGAGUGCGGUAGGGGUGACUGGAAUUCCUGGUGUAGCGGUGGAAUGCGCAGAUAUCAGGAGGAACACCGAUGGCGAAGGCAGGUCACUGGGCCGCAACUGACGCUGAGGAGCGAAAGCAUGGGGAGCGAACAGG
rnacentral:rRNA from 1 species